rnacentral:lncRNA from 1 species
CAGCCUAUUUUUGCUCUCCAAAAAGGAAAUCCCUUCAAAAAGAAGGAAGUACUUCAACAGUUACUCUUGAAUGUCACUAAAAUGUCUUUAAAGUUUAUUUCAACACUCCUCAGCCUCAAAAAAAAAAAGACUUUUAAAACAGCUUGGAAAAAAUAUAUAGUUUGGAAAAAGUUGUAUGAUACUGAAAUGAAGAACGGUAGCUAUGAAAUAUUUACAAACUU